CACGUAGGGGGCAAGCGUUGUCCGGAAUCAUUGGGCGUAAAGAGCUCGUAGGCGGCUCAGUAAGUCGGGUGUGAAACCCUCAGGCUCAACCUGGGGACGCCACCCGAUACUGCUGUGGCUAGAGUCCAGUAGGGGAGUGUGGAAUUCCCGGUGUAGCGGUGAAAUGCGCAGAUAUCGGGAGGAACACCGGUGGCGAAGGCGGCAUCCUGGACCGACAUUGACGCUGAUGAGCGAAAGCCAGGGGAGCAAACGGG
rnacentral:rRNA from 1 species